ensembl:lncRNA
UUUGAAUAUCGACAUAUACAGACCUACUUCAUGGCCAGUCCACCAGCCAUUGCUAUUAGACCCAUUGUUGUUAUAUUGAGACAAAUCAUGAUCACUGUCCUAUAGCGUCCAUUUUUUGAGUCUCUUGUCUACUUCAAAUGCAAUUAGAAAUAUGGGACAGUUGCUUAAUUUUGUUCAUGUGCUACAGGCCGAAAGACUAAAUUAUAAUGUAACUUACUUGCUCCUUUUAAGUAUAACAUUGCUUAGGGAGUCCAAUGCCACUACUGAAAUGGGUGGAAAGUGCUUACAACUCUCUGCUAGUCAGCGAUCUAUCUCUUCUCUACUUGUAGUUGUGUUGCGCGAAUGCUGCUGAGGGAGGUAGUCUAUUUGAUUUAUUCUCUGAAUUGUCCCAUCAUGUGGUAAUAACAAAAAAAGAAGGCGAUACCAUUGGCCUGGGUCGCACACUGUUGCGACCCGAGGGGCGAAUUUUCUUGCGCCAAUGAAAAGCUGUCUCUGCUUGAUAGACAGCAAAAAGUUAGUGUGCUUACACUAGCCGCGUUUACAUGGCACAUCUGAUCCGCAUAGAUUUCUAUGCGGCAUAGAUCUGUUCCUAAAAAUGUGUUCCGAAUGUACUGUAUACAUGGCAGUAACAAAAGUGUCCGUUAUGUCUCUCGCGCACACCUGACACAUCUCUGGACCGGCGGCGACAUAAUGGAUGUCUUAUCACUCGGGGAUUUUAAAUUUGAUUUUAAUGAAAGCACAGCAGGAGAGAGCUUUUCUCUGCCUGCUCCUUCAAUUAAGAAGGAGGAGGACAGCGCAGCAACGUCAAUUUCUCGUCAGAUCUUUAUAUUUACCCUAAGCUCCGCCGCAAACAAGAGGAAUUUGGAUGCGACUCCGCAGCCAAGACUGGUGGGAGAGAGUGGUCUUACGGGAAUUUAGUGACCAGGAAUCCUCGAAGGUCCAAUUGCGCACUACUGCAGAUGCCAUCGCUCUAAGUUAAGAAGUAUUUUAACGUUCAGCCUGCAAAAGUACUAGUAGUAGCCUACUAAUUUACAGUUAUUUCGGACGCGCGCGGACACGUCAUUAAUAAACACCCAUGUCCCGUCGCUAAGCAACCGGACACGCUUACCGGACUACUUUUACGGAGUGAUAAUAACAAAGACGUGAAUCAGGCAAUAAAUCCACUUUCAUUGACCGCGGUGAAGUUCGGUGUGCUUAAAAGUACCGACGGAGCUCAGGGGACCAAUGGCGAACUACUGCGGCUGCUCUAAGUUAAACCCCAAUCUAUUCGGAAUAAGUGUAUACAUGGCGAUUCAAACGGACUACACCACCACUUCUAUUCGGCAUAGAAUCUAUGCCGAACAGAUAAUUGUAUUCCGAAUGAGGCGUAUACAUGAUCAUUUUCUGUUCCGCAUAGAAAUCUAUGCGGAACAGAUGUGUCCAUGUAAACGCGGCUACUGACUCCAACGUGGCCGGCGCCCCUGACUUGGAGGAGGGCUUUAUUUUGAAGGACCAAUAUCUAGCCUAGCACAAAUCAUUGACGUUCAGACGCAUUUAAAUGGUUGCUGGCAGUGACAAGUAUGUCACACAAAUAAACGAGGAUAAACGCUAUGUAUUUUUGUUGAUUUAUUUCGUCUUGAUAAUAGUUGAUUAAUGGUUGGCAGAUAUAUUCAAGUGAAUAUUUCACGGAGGGGCGGUGUCACACCAAAUUUGUACCGGGUGCCAAAUUUUGUACCGCCUACGUAAUCUGUUGUCCGUUGCAGACAACUGGUUGUCCGUUGCCAGGCAGGUUUCAAAAAACAAUCGCGCUCAUGUUGCCAAAGACGAAAUAAUAUAAGACGGAUAACGGAUCGCUAGAUAACACUUGUUUUUACUUUAUAUUUGUAUUGUAUUUGUUUAAUCAAAUUUAGCUAGUAAACUGAGGGUUUAAAGUGUAUCAUAGUCUAGCUAGCUUGUUUUAAUUUAAUUUCCUUAAUUUAAUUUAGAUGGGUGGGUAGAUGGAUGGAUAGAUAGGUGAGCAGGCAUUUACUAACUGGUAAAUGUUUUUUAUUAGGGGUCCAAGCCAACAGGUUGGAUCCCUAUUGUUUUUGUUCUUAUUAUUGUUAUUCACGUUAUCCCCAUAACAUUUAGCUAUUACUGUGUAGGGAAAUAUAUAAAUACAAUACAAAUAUAAAGUUAGGAACGCUAAUAAAUGUUAUUUGUAAAAUAAGUGUUAUCUGUCUUGUCCCGCUCAAUGAACGAGUUCGCAAAUGCGUCAUUCGACGCGAUCGUCCGUUGUCGGGCAACGUUCGACGCGAUCGUCUGUUGCCAGGCAGGUUUGGAAUGGUUUACGUAUGGAUUACGUAGGCGGCGUCACGUUAAAAUUGUACCGGGGGCGAAAAUUGUACCGGCCUACGUCAUCGUUUGUUUACAUCCUGACAACCUGCCCGGCUACAGACGACGCGAUGCAGAAAACAUGUUUCCAAACGACGAAAUAACAUAAUACAGAUAGCGG